UUUUGUUGCUUUUAGAACAACUAUCAAAGGAUCAAUUGUUUUUCCCAACAUUCAUCACACAAGAUCCACCGAACAUUUAUCAUUGGUUAAUGGAAUGUUUGAAAGGAAAUAAGGUAAUGAGUGAAACUUAUGUGCAGAUUAGGGACCGGUCAUCAUUUAUAAAUGAGGGGAGGUUUCUCUGAUCCAACCAUUAAAAAGUCCCAAAAAAUUUUACUCAAUCUCAAAUAUCAAUGAAAAGAUAAAUACCCACCCCUGACCAAAAACUGUACAAAAGGAUAUCAUUCAGUUGUCACACAUGUCCUUUACCACUGCUGUGACACGAGUUUGAUAACUGCAGUCUAAAGUUUCAUAUUGUCUGCGCAUGUAGUUUCGUUGGAGACACCAUUUGUCUCCUGACAAAUCGGAACGUGCAUGGUCAAGAUAGUGACUCUGACUGAUUCACAUAUUGUAUUGACAUAUGACUGUUGACAUUGUUUUUUAGUCUUCAGUAUUUGAGUGACUCGUGCUUUGGCAAUGACAAUAAAUUUUUAUUACCCAACCCUUGAGUUGUUUUGUUUUUCAUUUACCCAACCUUUUACUUACUCAAAAUUUUGUUUACCCAACCCUUUUCUCUUCGGUGCCACCCCCCACCAUAAAUAAUGACCGGUCUCUUACCCUCUUAGAACAAAUUUAAACUUUUAGACAUUGCAACAUUGAAAGUUUUUAUUCUUUUUAGUUAAUUUUGAGAUUUUAUGACAUUUAAUAAAUUAAUUUGUUUAUGGUCGUUUUUAGGUUGACAAGUUUCCCAUAAUUCCAAACGUGUGUCAGCAAAUAUACAGAAUAAUAAUGGUAAGUUUGUUUUUGUGAAACAAAACUUGAUGAAAUGUAUACCAAUAUUAGCAUGGGUUGUCUCAAAAUUUCGACACUUUUCCCUAUUUGAAUAACCCACUAAAAAUCGUUGUAUCCACCCGUGAAUUUCGUUGUUUUGCAAGAAUUGUUUCGUUGUUUUGCAAGAAUUGAACUGUUUUGCAAGAAUUGUUGAAUUUUGAACACAUGUCGUCCUUGUUGUAUCUGCGCGUACGCGCAGUUUACAAUGUUAUUCUGCGAGUACGAAUCUCUCUCCUUCGCAGAGCCUCCUUAAACAUUUUCAUGUAACUUACUUACAUGAAGUUUUCGCACAGUGUAAAACGAGCUGACGGGGAGUGUGGAGGAGAGACAGCAAUAAUAUUUUCUAGCCAAUUAUUAUUUGCACUUCACAACUUUUGGCUAAAACUGUCGCAUGCAACCUGCUUACAACUUGAGUUGUACUGUGUAAAUCAAGCACACAACUCACCUACGUUGUCUUUAGUCACUAGAAAGAAACACUGAUCUUUGAAUAACUGGAUAUGCAUAAUAGCCAUAUUGAAUUUAAGCGCGUCGGAGCCUGGGACCUACAUUUAAUAUACCAACUUUUCCUUCGACUAAGUGCACCUUUUCCACUGAAAACCUCAGUUACAGGGCUGGUGAUUUUCAAAUUAAUUAUCGUGAUUAUUUUCCGAAAUCAGUAUUUUGAUGCAUGACAAGAUAUUUAUGUAGUCGCCAUGUCUAAAACACGGCCGCGAGCGAAAUACCAUUUAAUGGUUUAAGGUUUCAACAAAAGUUGCCCAUUGCGUGGAAUCAGGGCCGCCGAGAGGGGGGCAGGGGCCCGAGUUGCUGGGGGGCCCUGAAAAAUUUUUGUUGAGCCCCAGCCUUUUUGUGUGUUAAAUAUUUCCGCGCAAAGGACAAGAUAUCUGUUCUCUUGGGCUAAGUACCAAAUUUUGGCAUAAAAAAAUGAGAUAAACUCCCUCGAAAGCAAUUGCAACGUACUCGUCCGGAAAAAUUUUGUACUCCGGAAAAAAAUUUUUACCCCUAAAAUGGUACACUGACCGAAAAUUUUUUGGCGACGGGGGGGACGUUGUUGUCCGGAAAAAAAUUUUUCCGGGAAAAAAUUUUUUAGAUAGGAGCCCCUAAAAAAAAUUUGCCCCGGGCCCCCGCCAACCUCUCGGCGGCCCUGCGUGGAAUUUGUGAUCGUAUCAGGAAAUGUUACAAAUAGUGCUAGUGGUCACAAUCAUUAUCAAUCAUGUAUAUGAUAUACUUUUUCGCUUAAACGAUCUGAAGUAUAUAAAAUGCCGAAAAUAUUAGAUAGUACCAGUUUAGAAAUGACAGCCUUUUAGUUUUACAUUAUAAAUUAUUACGACAUUAGCUAUAUAUUUAUAGUAACCACCGUCAUUCUUAAUUUUAUGACAGAUCUCAUAACAACUAAAUCCAGUUUCGGAGGUAAAUGCGAUACAUUAUUACAAAGAUAAAAUAUCAUAUAAACUUUAAAAAGAUGUUUUUGACCGAG